GGCUGCAAGGGUGGAGGUUUGGACAUCGUUGAAUGCCCAGAGGCCACUAGCUGUUGGUGCCAGGUCUCUCUCUCUCUGUUUUUGUCUUUAAUUUGGUAAUUUAAAUUUUUUAUACCAUUUCAAAUUUACAGAAAAGUUGCAAGAAUAAUACAAAGAGCCUUUUCAUGACACUGACAUUGCCUGUUACAAUAUUAACAUUUUUGAAGAGUUCAUGCCAGUUACUUUGUAGAAUUUCCCUUAUUUUGAAUUCUCCUGAUGUUUUUGCCUUGUUCCAUUCAGGUUAUACAUCUUUUCUUUUCUUUCUUUCUACCUUCCAUCCAUCCGUCCGUCCGUCCAUCCAUAUAUUGAGUGCUGAACAUUUAUUAAGUAAAGUGCUUACUUUUUAAAACAUUAAAAAAUAACCCGUCUCUUGAAAUACUUCUCACUUGUUUGAAACAUAGAGUUCAUUGGUUUUUAGUAAACUCAGAUGUGCAGCCAUCACCCCCAAUGGGCCUCUGUACCCAUUAACAGCUGCUCCCCAUUUCCCCUCCCCCCAGCCCCUGGCCACCACUCAUCUAUUUUUGUCUCAAUGGAUUUGCCUAUUCUAGACACUUCAUAUAAAUAGAAUCACACAAUAUGUGGCCCUUUUACGGCUGAAUAAUAUUCUGUUGUAUGGAUGUGCCGCAUUUUGUUUAUUCGCUCAUAGUUGUUUGUUUCCACCCUUUGGCCUUUAUCAAUAAUGCUGAUAGAACCAUUUGUGUAUAGGUUUCUGUGUGAUCAUAUAUUUUUGUUUCUUUCUGGAAAAUGCCUAUGAAUGGCACUGCGGGGUCCUGUGGAAGCUCUCUAUGGCCUUUGCAGGAAUAGGUCAUGCGUUUUUGACCUGUUAGAGUCCUGGGAGGCCCAAAGGUAGAAAAGGGGGGCGAGUUGUUAUGCACAACUCCUGGUCUCGUUUUCCAGAGACUGAUGACCGUCCUGGGUCUGUGACCCUGGCCAGAACUAGGGGUUUUUGAUGUUCAGCCUCUCCUGAGGGAUGCCUAGGAGACAUGACCCCCCCCAGAGAGCACGAGGGACUGUGAGCCCCCUAUCUGCGGGCAACAUAAACCAGCUGUUCAGCUCCGUCAGCUCUCAUCUCAUCUGGAACUGCCUUUCCUAGGUUUGCCCCCAGACAAGGGCCCAAGUUAGAGCCUUGCAGUUGCCAGCCUCCUUUAAUUGCGUCCUUCAUUUCGCAGGCUGUUAUUUGUGUGGUGGUGUCUGGGUCUUGACUGGAGGGCCAUGUUUUUUAUUUUUUGUUUUUUUUUAAACUCAACAGUUUAGUAAGAUGUUUGAUGGAACCUAGUGAUUCAUCUAUUCCAUGAAGAAGGGGAGGAGCGUGUGUGUGUGUGUGUGUGUGUGUGUGUGUGUGUGUGUAUGGUGCGGAGGGGUAUGGCACACUGAGGAGAAGUUACCCUUAAAACAGAAGCAGCUCAGGCUGGAAAAGCCACCACUUUCCAGCCCCUCCCCACCAGGGGCU